GGGUGAGUAACACGUGAGCAACCUGCCCCUGACUCUGGGAUAAGCGCUGGAAACGGCGUCUAAUACUGGAUACCAACAAAAAUCGCAUGGUUACUUGUUGGAAAGAUUUUUUGGUUGGGGAUGGGCUCGCGGCCUAUCAGCUUGUUGGUGAGGUAAUGGCUCACCAAGGCGUCGACGGGUAGCCGGCCUGAGAGGGUGACCGG
rnacentral:rRNA from 1 species